AAUCAGCAGGGGCAGUUUUCAGCUCAAUCAGCGAUCCCAAUAAACUAUUGUGUCAGUAACGUAACUAUCUUUUGAUUAUCAGACUCCAUCAGUUUGGUUGCCGAGAAACCACUAGAAAAUGAACAAGAAAAUUGGGAAUCUCAUGAAAUAAUUGAUCUUUUCUGUAAAUCUAUGGGGUGAGGAUUCCCAAAACUCUUUCUUUCACUUUCUUUACGAUUUGCGAUUCUUUCUCUGCGGUUACUCG
rnacentral:misc_RNA from 1 species